UACGUAGGGGGCUAGCGUUGUCCGGAAUCAUUGGGCGUAAAGCGCGCGUAGGCGGUUCGGUAAGUCCGCUGUGAAAGUCGGGGGCUCAACCCUCGGAUGCCGGUGGAUACUGUCGGGCUUGAGUACGGAAGAGGCGAGUGGAAUUCCUGGUGUAGCGGUGAAAUGCGCAGAUAUCAGGAGGAACACCAAUGCGAAGGCAGCUCGCUGGGACGUUACUGACGCUGAGGAGCGAAAGCGUGGGGAGCGAACAGG
rnacentral:rRNA from 1 species